ensembl:lncRNA
CCUCCCCUCACCUGGUUGUCUAGGACCUCCCCUCACCUGGUUGUCUAGGACCUCCCCUCACCUGGUUGUCUAGGACCUCCCCUCACCUGGUUGUCUAGGACCUCCCCUCACCUGGUUGUCUAGGACCUCCCCUCACCUGGUUGUCUAGGACCUCCCCUCACCCGGUUGUCUAGGACCUCCCCUCACCUGGUUGUCUAGGACCUCCCCCUCACCUGGUUGUCUAGGACUUCAUACUGACACAUUAAAAAGUGAAAUAACUAAAACCAGCAGAUGACUGCCCUCCAUGGAAUGAGUUUGGACACCUUCUGAUCUAGUGCCUUUCGACAGAAGCACAGAUCCAGGAACAGUCUCCAUUUCCUCAACCUUAACUAGUGUAGUAUAAGUUAACUACUAGGGGGGGGGAUCUGCAUGAAAACUGACCUGAGAUCAGUGUCGUGUUUUAUAAGAUGACCACUUCCUCUCUUUUACAGGUGACAUUCCUUUCCUCCUUAAACAUGUGUCGCGUUGUAUUCCUUCCCCCCCACUGAUUCAGUAGCAGGAAGGAGUUUUGAGGUGUCGCGUUUUAUUCCCCCCCCCCCCCCCACUGAUUCAGUAGCAGGAAGGAGUUUUGAGGUGUCGCGUUGUAUUCCCUCCCCCACUGAUUCAGUAGCAGGAAGGAGUUUUGAGGUGUCGCGUUGUAUUCCCUCCCCCACUGAUUCAGUAGCAGGAAGGAGUUUUGAGGUGUCGCGUUUGAUUCCCCCCC